rnacentral:lncRNA from 1 species
GGUUUAAGGUGAGAGCUCAUAGCCAAAAGAAACACAACUAGCACUCAAUUCAACAUCUAAUCCAGCAUGACACACUCUCUUAUUACACUCUAGCUUCUGUAGGCCUAUCUCAACUUCUUUUGCCCUUACACUCAUCAUCAAGCAUCCACACAUUCAAAUCAACCAACUCUCACAUUCAUUAAGCAUAAAACAUCAGGUGAAUUCUUGCAAAUGGUCAAUUGGUUCAAAUCAUUUGGUUGGGUAAGGGAAGACUCGUUAUUCAAGUGAGUCAAGAGGUUCAAGAUAUAUGAUCUUUAAGGUGGUUUACUCUCGAAACAAACAAGUAGUCUUGACAUUGCACAUAAUAUAUCUAAGAAAGGGACCAACUCAUGCAUACAAUGCUCAAUCUCCAUUGUUCUACCCUUUUCCCAAACAUACAAGUUACACAAUCACUUCCCAAUGUCAAACCAAACUCACAUCUCU